UACGGAGGGUGCAAGCGUUAUCCGGAUUUACUGGGUUUAAAGGGUGCGUAGGCGGUCCAUUAAGUCAGUGGUGAAAGCUCCGAGCUUAACUCGGAAACUGCCAUUGAUACUAGUGGUCUUGAAUUCGGUCGAGGUUGGCGGAAUGUGUCGUGUAGCGGUGAAAUGCUUAGAUAUGACACAGAACACCGAUUGCGAAGGCAGCUAGCUAGACCGACAUUGACGCUGAGGCACGAAAGCGUGGGGAUCAAACAGG
rnacentral:rRNA from 1 species